rnacentral:rRNA from 1 species
UACGUAGGGGGCAAGCGUUGUCCGGAUUUAUUGGGCGUAAAGAGCGUGUAGGCGGCCGUACAGGUCAGCUGUGAAAACUCGAGGCUCAACCUCGAGACGUCGGUUGAAACCGUACGGCUAGAGUCCGGAAGAGGAGAGUGGAAUUCCCGGUGUAGCGGUGAAAUGCGCAGAUAUCGGGAAGAACACCCGUGGCGAAGGCGGCUCUCUGGGACGGUACUGACGCUGAGA